rnacentral:rRNA from 1 species
CUAGCGAGACUGCCGGUAAGUAAACCGGAGGAAGGUGGGGAGUGACGUCAAAUCAUCAUGCCCUUACUGACCUGGGCGUACACACGUGCUACAAUGGUUGGUACAACGAGUUGCGAGUCGGUGACGGCGAGCUAAUCUCUUAAAGCCAAUCUCAGUUCGGAUUGUAGGCUGCAACUCGCCUACAUGAAGUCGGAAUCGCUAGUAAUCGCGGAUCAGCACGCCGCGGUGAAUACGUUCCCGGGCCUU